ensembl:lncRNA
GGAGUUGGCAGGUCUGUUUUGUCCCUGACCUCCCUCGACAGCAAGAAACCAAUGGAUGAGCCUCAUUAGCAUCCUCACUGCUGCCAUUCCAGAGAGUGACCAGCCCCAUGAAGACAACCUUGGAAGAGUAGUGUGCAGUUCACUGCUGUAGGCUUUUUGACUGCAUCAAUACAAAGUGCUGUAUGCAUUUUUUAAGGAAAUACUGCGUCAAGCAGCAGAGCAACGCUGUCAUUUUGCAAGUUGUUUUGCUACAAAUAUGUUCUUAUAAUGGAGUUCAGGAUGUGUCUGCUCAUGUAUAGGUCCCAUUUUACAAUACUUGUGUGCAAUCUAGUUUUCUUAUGAAAAAGGGCAAACAGGUAGUCUGCAAGACAUUGCUGGAGUGUCAGGGAAUGAUAGAAAGAUUGGUUUUUGUUCUUUCAACAGGAAACAGACUUUUGGGAUAAAGAUGAGGAAGAGUGAGUUUUAAUUAAAAUCCUCUCAGCUUAUCUUCUCACUCAAGGGAACAUGAUUUUUCAACCAUUAAAAGCAACUGGAGCAUUGCAGUCCUUUUUCUGGAAGGAAAAAUAGGUCCUAAUAGAGUUAGGUUUACACUGUGCAAUUCAGAAAUAUGCAAAUGUGCUUCACUUGCUUUGCCUCUGUUACAGUAUUGUGCUCAGGAUGCAGUCUUUCCCCUCCGACAUUUUCAACAGGGGGCUGCACAGGAUGGCUAGCCCUUGGGGUGCACACACAGCCAAUUUUGCCAAAAUACCCUGGAUAACGGAGGACAUGAGUGUAAGUUGUGUGUGUGUGUGUAACAACCAACACCUGUCAUGCUAGAGAAGAUGACCGUCAGCUGGAUGAAACAGGAACCAUGGAAAUAUAAGGAAACUCUGGAGAAAGGAAUUAACUGGAAGAGGAAGGAGGCUGAGCACCAGGGGGUGGGGGUCAGAGGGCCAUUGGCAGGCCUCGUGGCUGGGACACAAGUGUAGCUUCUUGGGCUAAAAAGGAGCACAAUGGGAAGUGACACUGAAAAAUCACAGUGUGCCAGAGAGGCUGUUGGUGACAAACAUGGGGUGAAGCAUGCCUGCGUUUGGGGAUGGAGAAACAGAGCAGUUUUAGUGUGCAUGAGGGGACCCAGUUCUUUACUUGGUCAUCCCAACAUAUCCUGUGAUGCUUCACUGUUCCAGUGCACGGAAACUGGAUUCCUUUAGAGGGAAAAUAAGCUGCUCCGGGUGUCUGCAGGAGAGGAGAGCGUGUGUGUCCAAACCAACAGCUCUUUUUCAGCCAGCUCUGAGCCAUGUGCACAGUUGUUCAGUCAGGGUACCAAACUGUAGGCCAAAACAAAACCCUCCAAGCUGCCUCUAGUGUAGCUAUGAGGAUCCACUUGUUUCAACAAAAUAAUCAUUUCCUUUUAUGCUAAUUUACAUGUUAAUGGAGAUAGAACCCAAAGUAAAUUACGGUUUGUGGAACUCAGUAUCCUCAUAAACAACUUUUUGUUAUGUAGGUAAAAAUUAAUGUAAAAAAUGGGAUUGAUCAAACAGCAAAACAAUUUUUUAAGGAAGUCUUCAUUGCUUUGGAUGUCUUGAAUGGUAUUAUCCAUGUUAAAAAAUAAAAUAAAUCAGAAUUCAAGUUGCA